UGAUCAUGGUUCAGGAUGAACGCUGGCGGCAGGCCUAAUACAUGCAAGUCGAACGGGAUCUGAAGUAGCAAUACUUUGGUGAGAGUGGCACACGGGUGCGUAACACAGUAUGCAACCUACCUUUAACCGGGACACAACCCUCCGAAAGGGGGGCUAAUAUUCCAUGUGAUUAUUUUGUGGCGUCAUAAGAUAAUUAAAGAUUCAUUGGUUAAAGAUGGGCAUGCGUCCCAUUAGCUAGUUGGUGAGGUAACGGCCCACCAAGGCUAUGAUGGGUAGGGGUUCUGAGAGGAUAUACCCCCACACUGGUACUGAGACACGGACCAGACUCCUACGGGAGGCAGCAGUAAGGAAUAUUGGUCAAUGGGCGGAAGCCUGAACCAGCCAUGCCGCGUGCAGGAAGACGGCCCUAUGGGUUGUAAACUGCUUGUUGUCAGGGGAUAAACACAUAUCUACGUGUAGAUAGCUGA
rnacentral:rRNA from 1 species